UACGUAGGCAGCGAGCGUUGUUCGGAGUUACUGGGCGUAAAGGGUGUGUAGGCGGUUGUUUAAGUUUGGUGUGAAAUCUCCCGGCUCAACUGGGAGGGUGCGCCGAAUACUGAAUGACUUGGAGUGCGGGAGAGGUGAGUGGAAUUCCUGGUGUAGCGGUGAAAUGCUUAGAUAUGGCACAGAACACCGAUAGUGAAGACAGCUCACGAGGGCCAAACUGACGCUGAGGCACGAAAGCGUGGGGAUCGAACAGG
rnacentral:rRNA from 1 species